rnacentral:rRNA from 1 species
CAGCCGCCGCGGUGAUCCGUAGGGUGCAAGCGUUAAUCGGAAUUACUGGGCGUAAAGCGUGCGCAGGCGGUUUGUUAAGACAGAUGUGAAAUCCCCGGGCUCAACCUGGGAACUGCAUUUGUGACUGGCAAGCUAGAGUCUUGUGGAGGGGGGUAGAAUUCCAGGUGUAGCGGUGAAAUGCGUAGAGAUCUGGAGGAAUACCGGUGGCGAAGGCGGCCCCCUGGACAAAGACUGACGCUCAGGUGCGAAAGCGUGGGGAGCAAACAGGAUUAGAGACCCGAGUAGUCCCUGUCUCUUAUAC